GUUGUUCUCAAGUGAUAUUUAUUUAUUGGCGGUCCUGUUCGUCGUGCUGCAGCCCCGGAGACUCCGUCGGAUGCCAAAUCCGGUGUUCUUGCUGAUCAGGAAUGUCUCACCGUGAGUGAUUCGGUAAAAUCUUUCGCUAUUGGUGUUCUUCAACUUGAAGGUGGAUACCGUCCCAGGAGAAGAAUCGUAAAUAGGAUAUUGAUUACCAGCUGAGACGUGCUAGCCCGCAGAUGACGAUCGACAGUGACCCAAUCUAUCCCUCGAUCAAUUCGGUCAACAUGAUGGCAAGCCGAUCGAAUUAGCGUCAUAAAUCCGCAAAACCCGGAACCGAUUUUAAUUUUUGCUACAAGAACGUGUUCCCUACCAUCACUAGUCACAGUCAGAUGCUUGAUCCGACAACCCCAGCCGCAGCAGCAGCUCAAUGAGUUAUCGAUUGUCACAGUCCUGAAAUAUCAGCGAACCUGCUCCGUCAGCAGGAGCGGCAAAAGGAUCUAGCUUCGCUCGCCACCUAUCGGAGGAUCACGAUGAUUUCAACAAUAAUAAUUUGGCUUAAGAUCGUUUGGCCUAAUAGUCGUUUGACUUGAAAAUUGUUUGGCCUAAUAGUCGUUUGACCUAAUGGUCAUUUACUCGUAGCCGCAUCAUAUAAUGAAGAUAAGGCACACUUUAAAUCACAAGCAGUUCUUUUUAUCCACAUAUUGAUACGGCAGUUGGGUAGCGCAAUCAUCCACAGUAUUUACUUGUAGUAACGAGCUUGGUAGACAUAUGACUACCGCUUCUGCCUUGAGGGUUCAAUCCCAGGCACGUUCUAGUCUCCUACUCAGUAUCUUUCUCCAAAUCUCUCAUUUCAGCAAUCGCUACAAAUGCGGUUCAUACCGUUUCCAUUUGUAUCCUAUAUCUUCAACAUGACUAAUCCUACAGUGACUUCUUGAAUUGGAAAUGAACGAAAGCUCGUUUCCUAUAUGCAAUUAGAAAAUACCAUCAAUUGCUUUGCUCUCACUUUGCCCGUGGCUAAUGCAGAGGUAUAUCUCUUGCAGGUAAUCGGCUUGCAGUGGCUCUUGGUUCUUUAAAGAACAGCUGUCUAGUCAAACGGCAUUAUGCCAAACGACUUUAAGGUAAACGUGGCACAAUCAUUGUUAACCUGUGUUGAUUGUGUUGAUGACUAUAGUUCACUGAGAUGGGUAUUUUAUUUGUAAUUUUUAAAAUCGAUUCCACUAAUAAAAAAA